UACGGAGGGGGCUAGCGUUGUUCGGAAUUACUGGGCGUAAAGCGCACGUAGGCGGCUUUGUAAGUUAGAGGUGAAAGCCCAGGGCUCGACCCUGGAAUUGCCUUUAAGACUGCAUCGCUAGAAUUGUGGAGAGGUAAGUGGAAUUCCGAGUGUAGAGGUGAAAUUCGUAGAUAUUCGGAAGAACACCAGUGGCGAAGGCGACUUACUGGACACAUAUUGACGCUGAGGUGCGAAAGCGUGGGGAGCAAACAGG
rnacentral:rRNA from 1 species